UACGUAGGGGGCAAGCGUUUGUCCGGAAUCAUUGGGCGUAAAGCGCGUGUAGGCGGCCCGGUAAGUCCGCUGUGAAAGUCGGGGGCUCAACCCUCGAAUGCCGGUGGAUACUGUCGGGCUAGAGUGCGGGAGAGGCGAGUGGAAUUCCCAGUGUAGCGGUGAAAUGCGUAGAUAUUGGGAGGAAUACCGGUGGCGAAGGCGGCUCCCUGGACCGGUACUGACGCUGAGGCGCGAAAGCGUGGGUAGCAAACAGG
rnacentral:rRNA from 1 species